rnacentral:lncRNA from 1 species
AACAAUUACGUUGAGUAGAACAACUUGGUUUAAGUACUGAAACAAGUGCACCAGAAAAAGCACUGACAAUCGUUUACAACAGUCUGGUAAACGAUUACGCGAGCAAGUUAUGUGAUUUGUACAGAAAGUUGUACUGCAGAAGCCAGUUUUUUGUACAUAGGGGACCAUAGUCUGAAUUUUUGAAUUUUUUGCCUUAAAUCCAAUAGUUUUUUCCUGA